rnacentral:rRNA from 1 species
UGGGGGAUAUUGCACAAUGGGCGAAAGCCUGAUGCAGCGACGCCGCGUGGGGGAUGAAGGCCUUCGGGUUGUAAACUUCUUUUGCUCUGAACAAGGCAUGCCUUUGGGGUGUGUUGAGUGUAGGGGUUGAUUAGCGCCGGCUAACUACGUGCCAGCAGCCGCGGUAAUACGUAGGGCGCGAGCGUUGUCCGGAAUUAUGGGGCGUAAAGGGCUUGGAGGUGGCUGGUUGCGUCUGUCGUGAAAGCUCAUGGCUUAACUGUGGGUUUGAGGUGGGUACGGGCUGGCUUGAGUGCAGUAGGGGAGGCUGGAAUUCCUGGUGUAGCGGUGGAGUGCGCAGAUAUCAGGAGGAAUACCGGUGGCGAAGGCGGGUCUCUGGGCUGUUACUGACGCUGAGGAGCGAAAGCGUGGGGAGCGAACAGG